UACGGAGGGUGCGAGCGUUGUCCGGAAUCACUGGGCGUAAAGGGCGCGUAGGCGGCCUGAUAAGUAGGGGGUGAAAUCCUGCGGCUUAACCGCAGGGCUGCCUUCUAAACUGUCAGGCUUGAGCACAGUAGAGGCAGGUGGAAUUCCCGGUGUAGGCGGAUGGAAUGCGUAGAGAUCGGGAAGAACAUCAGUGGCGAAGGCGGCCUGCUGGGCUGUUGCUGACGCUGAGGCGCGACAGCGUGGGGAGCAAACAGG
rnacentral:rRNA from 1 species